GAAAGAGACAGAAGCGGGGGAGCAGCAGGCGGAGGCAGAGGGAGAAGCAGGCUCCCGCGGAGAGCCUGACACAGGACUCGGUCCCAGGACCCGGGAUCAUGAUCUGAGCCGCAGGCACACGCUUCACCGACAGAGCCCCCCGGGCAUCCCAGCCCUGUUGUAGGCAGGAAACAGGAAGCGAUCUGACACAGAGCCCUGCAUCAAUUAUGAUCAGAUUGGGGAAGUCCUCUUGGAUAAGCGCGUUCCGCCCAGCUGUGCAUCCCGCUCUGAUGGCAGUAGCAGCAGGGGGACCGUCUGACUCACCGGAUGGGCACCCUGCUCCGAGCUGUGGUCCGCAGUUGUUUCCAGGGGCUUCAGAGGCUGCUCUCUGAGCCCCAGGCCCCUUGCUCCUCUCACGACACGCAAAACACGGCUUCAGAAGGGAAAUGGAUGCUUGGCUACAGACGGGCCACAUACACAUAAUUUAAAAAACUGAAUUCUAUCACUUAGACUGUGCUUUGUUUUGCUUUUUAAAAGGAAUCCUGGUCGGAUGCUUUGCGAGUGAAACACAGUGUGCUCUGAGCAGGGUGUGGACAGGUGCCCAAGUAAAGAGGAGGGAUCCAGCACUAAGCCGUGGGACAGGACUUCAUGAGUGGUCAGCGGAGCCCUGGGUCUGCGUCCCGGCUUCCCCAUGUUCCUGGUUCCCAGGCCUGUUGCGAGGGUUGAUGAGGCCCUGGGGCUGUGCUGGUAGAUCGCUUGGUCCAGUUUCCAGCCCCUUCUCUGCACUACUCCUUGCCACAAACACAUCCCAACACACUGUACCAGCUUUUCUCUUUCCCACAGUGGACUGUUUGCAGUGCAUACCCUUACUUUUGUCUUAGAUUUUAUGCAGUGAAACGAACAGGUCCAGGUGUCUGUUACCCCAUGACAGAGGAGGUUAUUGGCAUAAAGUGAAAUGAAGGAAAAACUUACAGCUUCCCCACUGGGUUCCAAAGGCCGCAGUGCCUGUAGAGCACAUGGUUCCCACACCUCACUGUCCCCCGAGAUGCCUAACACGCACGCUAUAGACGCAUUUCUGUGUACUAUGGGGCACUUCAGGUAAUUCCUACUUUACUUGAAUUAUAAUUUGCAAAAAUUAUUCCUGUAAUCACAGGUUUAAACUACUGAAUAAACAUAAAUAUUCCGAAGAAGCACCUUA